rnacentral:rRNA from 1 species
GACGAACGCUGGCGGCGUGCCUAAUACAUGCAAGUAGGACGCAGUUGCGAACGUGUGAGUAACGCGUAGGUAACUACCUAUUAGUGGGGGAUAACUAUUGGAAACGCUAGCUCAUACCGCAUACUAGUAGAUGGACCUGCGUUGUAUUAGCUAGUAGGUAGGGUAAUGGCCUACCUCGGCAACGAUACAUAGCCGACCUGGGAGGGUGAUCGGCCCCACUGGGACUGGUACAAGGCCCAGACUCCUACGGGAGGCAGCAGUAGGGGAACUUCGGCAAUGGGGGGAACCCUGACCGAGCAACGCCGCGGGAGUGAAGAAGGUUUUCGGAUCGUAAAGCUCUGUUGUGAAGGAAGCGGUACUUAACCAGAAAGGGACGGCUAACUACGUGCCAGCAGCCGCGGUAAUAC